UACGUAGGGAGCAAGCGUUGUCCGGAAUCAUUGGGCGUAAAGCGCGCGUAGGUGGCCUCAUAAGUCCGCUGUGAAAGUCAAAGGCUCAACCUUUGAAAGCCGGUGGAUACUGUGGGGCUAGAGUACGGAAGAGGCGAGUGGAAUUCCUGGUGUAGCGGUGGAAUGCGCAGAUAUCAGGAGGAACACCAAUAGCGAAGGCAGCUCGCUGGGACGUUACUGACACUGAGGCGCGAAAGCGUGGGGAGCAAACAGG
rnacentral:rRNA from 1 species